AGACCAUGGUGAGGACACUUCCUAAGCAGUUUCUUAAAUCUCUCCCACGACUCAUAUAAGGUUUAAUUAUCAAAUUGAGAAAAAGUUGUUAUUGCCAUUCCUUAAUUU
rnacentral:snoRNA from 1 species